UUAUGGCCAUAUCACGUUGAAACACCAGUUCUCGUACGAUUGCCGAAGUUAAGCAACGUCGAACAUGGUUUGUACCUAGAUGGGUGACCGCUUGCAAAUAUCAGGUACUGUAAG